UGAGUACGAGAUGCUACGGCAUCGAAGCAGUCUAUGUCAUACUUCCAAGAAAAGCUCGCACUGUCAAAAACAAAUUAAUGCCUGUACCAUAACCGACACAGGUGGGUAGGUAGAGUAUACUAAGGGGCGCGAGAUAACUCUCUCUAAGGAACUCGGCAAAAUAACUCCGUAACUUCGGGAGAAGGAGUGCCUUUUGAAGGCUGCAAUAACCAGAUCCAAGCAACUGUUUAUCAAAAACACAGGUCUCCGCUAAGUCGUAAGACGAUGUAUGGGGGCUGACGCCUGCCCAGUGCCAGAAGGUUAAAGAAGUUGGUUAGCCCUGCGAAGCUGAUGACUGAAGCCCUGGUGAACGGCGGCCGUAACUAUAACGGUCCUAAGGUAGCGAAAUUCCUUGUCGGGUAAGUUCCGACCCGCACGAAAGGCGUAAUGAUUUGGAUACUGUCUCGGAGAGGGACUCGGUGAAAUAGACUUGUCUGUGAAGAUGCGGACUACCUGCACCAGGACAGAAAGACCCUAUGAAGCUUUACUGUAACUUGAGAUUGAAAUUGGACUUUACUUGCGCAGUAUAGGUGGGAGGCGUUGAAAAUAUUCUUGCGGGAAUAUCGGAGCCAUCAGUGAGAUACCACUCUUGUAAUGUUAGAUUUCUAACUUUGUAUCAUUAUCUGGUCAAAGAACAGUCUCAGGCGGGCAGUUUGACUGGGGCGGUCGCCUCCCAAACGGUAACGGAGGCGCACAAAGGUUUCCUCUGAACGGGUAGAAAUCGUAUCUAGAGUGUAAAGGCAUAAGGAAGCUUGACUGUGAGACCUACAAGUCGAGCAGGGACGAAAGUCGGUCUUAGUGACCUGACGGUGCUGAGUGGAAAGGCCGUCACUCAACGGAUAAAAGUUACUCUAGGAUAACAGGCUGAUCUCCCCCAAGAGUUCACAUCGACGGGGAGGUUUGGCACCUCGAUGUCGGCUCAUCGCAUCCUGGGGCGGUAGUACGUCCCAAGGGUUGGGCUGUUCGCCCAUGAAAGCGGUACGCGAGCUGGGUUCAGAACGUCGAGAGACAGUUCGGUCCAUAUCCGGUGUAGGCGUUAGAAUAUUGAGAGGAGCCUUCUUUAGUACGAGAGGACCGAGAAGGACAUACCUCUGGUGUACCAGUUAUCGUGCCAACGGUAAACGCUGGGUAGCUAUGUAUGGAGUGGAUAACCGCUGAAAGCAUCUAAGUGGGAAGCCCACCUCAAGAUAAGUAUUCUCA
rnacentral:rRNA from 1 species